rnacentral:rRNA from 1 species
UCAGUAACGGCGAGUGAAGCGGCAAGAGCUCAACUUUGGAAUCGCUCCGGCGAGUUGUAGUCUGGAGGUGGCCACCACGAGGUGUUCUAGCAGCAGGCAAGUCCUUUGGAACAAGGCGCCAGCGAGGGUGACAGCCCCGUACCUGCUUUUGCUAGUGCUUCCUGUGGCCCACCCGACGAGUCGAGUUGUUUGGGAAUGCAGCUCUAAGUGGGUGGUAAAUUCCAUCUAAGGCUAAAUAUUGGCGAGAGACCGAUAGCGAACAAGUACAGUGAUGGAAAGAUGAAAAGCACUUUGAAAAGAGAGUGAAACAGUACGUGAAAUUGUUGAAAGGGAAGGGCUUGCACCCAGACACGGUUUCGGCCGGGCCAGCAUCAAGUAGAACGGGGUUAAAAGACUUGGGGAAUGUAGCUACUUCGGUAGUGUUAUAGCCCUUGGUGAUGACCCCUGUUUUGCUUGAGGACAGCGGUCUCUAGGAUGCUGGCGCAAUGGUUGCAAGCCACCCGUC